ensembl:lncRNA
CUGGAGUCUCAUUCAAACGCUGGAGGCCUUGAGCGGAGGAAGUUGCCAUGGAAACGGGGCGACAACACCAACUGACAAACUUCCCUCGCAGCUGUUUUCACUUCUUUCAGAAACCUUUGAAAGGGUCCGUUAGCAUCUCAACUGUUUUCAGGCUAGAUUCUUCUAUGAUGAUGGCAGUUCAGCAGAGUUGGAGCAGACCUCCUCUCGGACAACAUCUCUAAGUGCUAUGAACAAUAUGACUAUCCCAUGCACAAGCUCUCUCACACACACACAGCAUGGCUCAUUCAGUGAGUGGUAAAGAGGAAACGUCUCGAAGCAGAGCGAUGAAAGCAUCAGUGAGACACUGUCUUUCAGACACUGGUGCUUCUUUCAGGCCAAGAACCUCAUUUCCUCUUGCACCUGGACUGCUUUGGACAUCUUCCCUAGAAUCCUUGACCUUAAUGAACCUCUUUUUUAUAUAUAUAAAAAAAAAAAAAAAGAAAAAAAUUACCAAUGUACUUAUGAAACACUGCUUUUAUGUGUUUUAUUCCUUUAUCUUUGGUUUAUUUUCUAUUAUCAAUGAAAGUUGUAAAUAACUGAGAUGGAAUAGUGUGCAUUUAUUUUUUGAAUUUGACUACAUUGCUUGUAGGAAUAUUGUUUAAUUAUAAGUAAAGC